UCAUCAUCAUCAUCAUCAUCAUCACCAUCAUCAUCGUCAUGUGUGUGAUCUGCAGAAACUGACUUUUAAUAAUCUCAGGCUUCUCAGGGGAAAUCGUGGCCGGUUCUUCCACUGAAUGUCCGUUCUGCGUCACCUUUGCCGCCAACACUCCCAGAGGAAAUGCUGCUUUGGUGGGAUUCAUUGCCAGCCAGCAGGCGUCUCAGUGGACAACCAAAGAGCUCUUUCAGUAUAAGACGUGAGGACAGGCCUGAGGAGGACUUCGGUGGAGGCUGGAACCAGGUCUGCUCACACAUUACCAGCCCAGCCUGAGGAAACCAUGCGGCAGGUGGUGAGCAGAGUGUGAUGAGUCUCUGAGGAUCCAGUGGAGAUGCUGGUGAACCACAGUGACCUGCAGCAAGUGUCAAAGAUCACCAGCAGCUUCUCUGCUUGUUUUUCUGUUCUCCUCUCCCAGUCCACGGGCUGCCAAGUGGA